CUGAAUACCCUGGUUCUGACAAAAACUCAGAAAAAAAAGAGCUGUUAGUAGAAGGUGACCAAAUGAAGCCCUGAAUCAUGUGACACCCUUCUUCUCUGCCCCGUGUGGAAACAGUCCUGGACUGAAGAUGCGUGACUAUUUGAAAGAGAAAAUAUCUUACUGAGAUGCAGAGUCCCAGUGCUGCAGCAUAGCCAAGACCUUUACUGGAACUCCAGGAGCUGAAGGUCAGAGGGGACAAUGCUGCUGCAUGCCACCAACUGCUCCUGCCUUUUGGACUCUUGCUGACUACAGCUAACUGCCAUGCCUCAGCCCUCAUUCCCCUCUUCAACUGUUAUGAGACCUGUGUCCCAUGUGCUUCCAUGUUCCUCUGAAGGAAGCUUCAAGAUAUUGUAAAAACCAGUCACCUGACUUUAGAAAACACCUGAGCCCAGAAUCAGCCCAGCACCAUGAGUCCAGCAAUGGUAUCUCAGGAAACCAGACCCUUCUGCCUACAAGGCUGACAUAGUGCUUUCUCCAGAACAUCUUAUUUGGUUCCAGGGGAAGUCAUUCACAAGACUCAGGAGGAGGCAAAGAGGUCAUCCAGAGGAGAGGCCUGGUUGGGAGUUCAGACUCAAAUUCAAAUCUCUGUAAUGUGGCUGGACUGCCCAGGGUAUGUGGACUGGGACCCAACUCUAUGUCUCAGCUUAUCUUCCUAUAAAAUAGAGGGAAAUGUGAGAGAUUUCUACCUCUAACAUAGCUCUAAAUUUUCACUAAAGUGCUUCCUCCUACCCACACUCUAUAACUGUCUCCUCAAACCCUCCCCUUCAAACCUCUGCCCAAAACCAAGAGAAAGUAUGAGGCAGAGAGAGUCUGCUUUCUUAAAGAUAGUAAGCAUGGAAAAGAAAGCUACUAGUGAAAUUUAAAUACAGAAUCUUUCCCUCCACUCACUUCUGUUCUAUUCUUUGGGAACACUGUCCACACAAUCCUAUCUAAUAAAAGGGUAAUAUGCAAAUUGACCAUCACUCCAACACACAAGAUGGCUGCCCCCAUGUAGUCAA